rnacentral:rRNA from 1 species
AGCGAACGCUGGCGGCAGGCCUAAUACAUGCAAGUCGAACGAACUCUUCGGAGUUAGUGGCGGACGGGUGAGUAACACGUGGGAACGUGCCUUUAGGUUCGGAAUAACUCAGGGAAACUUGUGCUAAUACCGAAUGUGCCCUUCGGGGGAAAGAUUUAUCGCCUUUAGAGCGGCCCGCGUCUGAUUAGCUAGUUGGUGAGGUAAAGGCUCACCAAGGCGACGAUCAGUAGCUGGUCUGAGAGGAUGAUCAGCCACAUUGGGACUGAGACACGGCCGAAGCUCCUAGGGGAGGCAGCAGUGGGGAAUCUUGCGCAAUGGGCGAAAGCCUGACGCAGCCAUGCCGCGUGAAUGAUGAAGGUCUUAGGAUUGUAAAAUUCUUCCACCGGGGACGAUAAUGACGGUACCCGGAGAAGAAGCCCCGGCUAACUUCGUGCCAGCAGCCGCCGCCG